ensembl:lncRNA
CUCGAGGAUCACGUGUCUAGACGCGUCUAUACAAAUGGGAGUUGCGCUGUCCGUGGUCCUGAAAAAAAUCACGCUCCGCAUUCAUCUCUCAACAAGACCGAUCGAAGUGUAUUUCUAAUCAUUCUUGUGGGAAGCAAACUUACUUUAACUCAAGUUUUAAAUGAACUUAAGGAUAGCGGUUGUUUCCAAACCUCAUCCAAGAAGCACACGGUUUUGAGUUCCAGCUAAUUUGUUCGGGAAAUCAGGUGCUCCCCUCUCCCCCAUCCUGUCCUCUCUGCAUGGUCAUGUUCUGCUGUUGCUACCCCUCCAGCACCUCAGCUCUCCUGUUAGUCCUCCUCAGCCUCACCCCCCUGCUGGCCCUGGCUGCCCCUGCACUUCAGCAGAGAUCUUCAGUCAGCAGCAGCAUCGAUGAGGCUCUCAACAUGGCAAAAGAGGACCCGGGGGCAGCAGAAGGGGCUGCUUGGACACAUAGGAAAGUGGACAGCCUGCUCCAGAAACCCUUGGGACAGGAACAUGUCUCAGAUAUGGACUCUGCCAGUUCUCUAGCCUCGGUUCUGCUUGAGGCUCUUGACCACCCAGUUAGAGAGAAGAUGACCCAGGGGGAAUCUGAAGAAGGACUCGCGAUAGAGGCAACAAGGAAUCAGGGAGACCUUGAGCAGGACACAGAAAAAUUGUCAGAGGUAUUACAGCAAGGGGAGGAAAAUUGGGGACAAGAAAAGCCAAAGGAUGAAAGUGAGAAUGUGAAGGAGGACAAAGUGAAUACGGCUGGAGGAACCGAUGGACAGAGUCAGUCUGACAUUGCCAACCCCCUCCAGCGCAAAACCAGGGGCUAUUUCCAAAAUAUUGACCUCGGACUGCAAGACAAUGAGAUCCUCCCGCCUCUAAAAGGCUAUAAAGCCUAUAACCAGCAACUGGCCCAGGCGACCAAGAAGCUUAAGUGGCAGGAGGAGCAAACGAGAAACCCAACCCAGCUUGACAGAAACUUCAUGGAUGAUUUCGAUUUUGUGGAAGAGGAGGAGGAGAUUCUGACCCGCAAGGAGGAGGAGGCACGGGCACGGGAAGAGCAGGAGGAGGUGAGGCGACAGGAGGCAGAGGCCCAGGAGGCGCGUGAGGAGGAGCAGAGAUUGGCAGACAUCGCCUCUGACAUGCUUCUGGACUACAUGGGCAGGAAGCAGAAAGCAUCAUCCUACAUGAGAGACAUGAAGGAGGCAGCUCUUCUAAACAAUGUGGCUGAGGACAAGCGCUCAAACGAGCUGGAGGAUAAUGAUGACGAUGAUGAGAUGGAUCCCCAGACCAUCGACAAGUUGAUAGAAAUUUCCAGCAAGCUGCACUUGCCUGCUGACGAUGUGGUCGAAAUAAUCAGCGAUGUUCAGGAGAAGAAGAAAAAGAGGAAGGAUUUACCUCCGAGCAACACCCCUCGUUUCCGCCCUUUAGUUCCUCUCAAAGCAAAGCCGAGGCCUCAGGCAUAUCAAUAUCCCAAGCCUCCUAAGAAAUCCUCUUAUACAGUCGAUCCAAAUAAGAAAUGGUACAAGGAGAAAAACAAAGGCAAGGUCAGCAAGCAGGACUACUGGUUUAAGCCGCAGAAACAGUUUCUGGCCUAUCCUUCAUUCCCCUAUUAUCAGAAGCCAUAUCGAGCCUAUUACCCGGUCUUCUUCCCGCCCCCCAAACCACGGUUCUAUACAAAUCCUGCUCUGUCAUUUGACUACAACUUUGGGGGCUCCAUGGGGUAUGGUCUGAAGCCUCCAAACCGUAGGCACAGAGACAGGCCUAAGGCCAGGGACUGGAAAUGGGCACAAGCCCCGCAACGCUCCCAGAGCCCCUACCCACAACCAGACACUGUCAUAUCUAAUUACAUUCUCCCCCAUCCCCGAACUUACCAGGCUCUCCCCAUGCCUAAACCACGUUCUCCUCCAAGCGGGAGAGUACCUUCUUACAUCUACCCACCAGACUAUGUGUACGAUGAACCGGAGUCUCCACAGGAGAGUGAUGAAGAACUGGAGAACUUCAUUGAGAAGAUUUAUUACAAUCGUAGGUUAUUUUAGUCAGCUGGGAGUUCAGGAUAUUCUAAAGCGAUGAAAGAGUGAGGAGAAAAAGCUGAGAAAAAGCUGAGUUUGUGUGACAGGGCUGUGAAAAGACAGUUAGGUGUUUCUUCUCCACUCUUGUGUUUUGAUACAUUCCAAAUCAGGAACGGAAGAGAUGGUGCUGCUUUAUCAGAACCUCUCUGCGUGCACUCAUUUGGUUUCUCUCGCAGUUUACAUUUUAAUUUGGUGAGAGAAUACACAGGUGAAUUUGUAAGGUUUCAUUCAGGUAUGUUUUUGAUUCUCUUGCAUGUGGGGAAAAAAAGAAAAAAAAACAAAUAGAAAAGAUAAAACAAAAAGAAACCAAAAACAAGCAGACAAAAUGGUCAAAGAAAACAUUUUGGUGCCAAUUGCAAGAGACCCAUGUUUAUACAAAGAUUUAUUUUCUUUAGGAAACACUUGAUUAAUUGAAAAGGCAAGUUUGGGGUUGAAUUCUUGACACUGCAGGGCACAGUAAUAAUUGCUAUGGCACUAGUUACACAAACAAGUAACUGUCAAAUUAUUAAAGGCUUUUCCUGAGGGUCUGUUUGAUUGUUUUGAUCAAUGUUCCUAUUGCCUUAAUACUGAUCACUGUUUUAGCUCAUCCAUGUGCAUGCAGGUCUUGCACCACUUAAAAAAAAAAAAAAAAAAAAAAUCUGUCACACACGCCGUAACCAAUGCUUGAAACUAAAUCUUCCAUUUUAUUCACAGAAAUGCAAAAUGGUGAAUAUCUUUGCUAGGUUGGUGCCCUGUCAAUCUACUUGGUGGAAUACCUGUACACAUGUGAUUUACAGUAAACUUAACAUCUUGGCAAAAUUUCGAACAAAUUUGAAAAAUGCCCCUGUUGCUAUGGGUUACCUCCAAUGUUCUUGAGAGUCAACAGAAUGCUGUAUAGUAAUGUUUGUUCCUAAAAAUAAGUUUGAAAAUGUCUGAAGUUUGUGAGGAAUACUCUAAGGGUUAACAGUUUGCACGUCUAUCUGUAUUUGCAUCUUUAAAAAAAAACAAAAAAAACAAAAACAAAAAAAAUAAAAAAAGACAAAUUUGGGGAAAAUUUCCUUGAUCAAACUGUGAUUAUUUUAAAAAUUAAUAAAACAAAGAAAGACAACUCUAAUUACUAUAGCAAGUGUUUUCAUCAGUGAACUGUCUUGUGAAAGGAAUUUGUUGUUGUCAACUUCCCGAUUGUAAGUUGUACAGUGUCAAAUAAACAAGUGUGUGUGCAAUGUGUAAAUAACAGCAUGUUGAUUACUAGUUUUGCUAUAUGACGAAAAUAAAAGCAAUUAUUUUAUUAAAGUCAGUUUUUUAAACAGAUGUCUUAUUGGAACGUCUUUGAUCAGAUCCUAAGCAGAAAUUAAUUAAUUUCUGUACGACAGAGGGUUCUUGCAAGGACGAUAUAU